GCUGGCGGCAGGCCUAACACAUGCAAGUCGAGCGGAAACGAUGGGAGCUUGCUCCCAGGCGUCGAGCGGCGGACGGGUGAGUAACGCGUAGGAAUCUACCUGGUAGCGGGGGAUAGCUCGGGGAAACUCGAAUUAAUACCGCAUACGCCCUAUGGGGGAAAGCAGGGGAUCUUCGGACCUUGCACUAUCAGAGGAGCCUGCGUUGGAUUAGCUAGUUGGUGGGGUAAAGGCCUACCAAGGCGACGAUCCAUAGCUGGUCUGAGAGGAUGAUCAGCCACACUGGGACUGAGACACGGCCCAGACUCCUACGGGAGGCAGCAGUGGGGAAUAUUGGACAAUGGGGGCAACCCUGAUCCAGCCAUGCCGCGUGUGUGAAGAAGGCCUUCGGGUUGUAAAGCACUUUAAGUUGUGAGGAA
rnacentral:rRNA from 1 species